UUUUACGGUUUUUUUUUUUUUUCGCUUGCGUUAGCGUUGGUUAACACACGUGUUAAGAGAUUUUGAGUGUUUUCGUUUUGUUUUGUAGUAUAUUUUAUUGUUAAUAGUGCUUUAGUUGGUAGUUGGGUUAAGUGGUGUUAGUAAUAUUUGUAAAUCUUGUUACGGAUUAACAAGGAAAUUACUACUACUAUACUUGGCUUUAAAAUUUAAUUGAGUUUGUUAUCUCACCCAUACCGAUCAAUCUCAUUCGUGUCUUCUCCAUCCUACGUGACAUUGGCGAAAUAAUCUGUGCCCUGUCGGCACAACUAAAAGCCAUUAAACUAAGAAUUGAAUUGAA